rnacentral:misc_RNA from 1 species
GGAAGGAUCAUUAACAAAUUCUAAACAACUGUGUUUCUUUAGCCCUACUGCUACUAAUUUGAUAGUCCCUCUACAUAACCUGCGGGGGGCCUAUUGGAUUACUGUGGAGGUUAAAGAAGUCACAUAAACAUACACUUUGAUUGACAACACCUAGUGAUCUAGAUAUUAAUUGUAGACAACUUUUAACAAUGGAUCUCUUGGCUCUUGCAACGAUGAAGAACGCAGCGAACUGCGAAACGUAAUGUGACCUGCACUCUUCGUGAAUCAUCCAAUCUUUGAACGCACUUUGCACCUUGCGGCAUUUGUCACAAGGUAUACUUGUUUGAGUAUCCACAACUCUCUCAUCUCCUCUUCGGGGCGAGAUGGACAUGAGAUUCGAUAAGCUGAACAUGCAUAAGGGCGGCAACAAACUUAUGACAGCGAGUCGUUUCUUUAAAUGGAGGCCGACCACAAGUGUCUCAGCUGAGAUAUGGUUAUUGGGAUAACAUCCUAACAAUAGCCAUAGGCUUUGACAUGCGAGGCCAUCUUAUCAAGGGUGUUGACUUUUUCCAAAGUGAUACAAUUGAUAAUGGCGUUCAGAAAAACGCUCUUCCUACACGUUCGCUUACACAUUGCAAGAUGUGUGUGUGUGACAUGAAGAGAGAGAAGGUUAGCUGUUUGCUACUGAAAAAUGGAUCUCAAAUCAAGUAGGGAUACCCGCUGAACUUAAGCAUAUCAGUAAGCGGAGGAAAAGAAACUAACAAGGAUUCCCCUAGUAACGGCGAGUGAACCGGGAAAAGCUCAAAUUUAAAAUCUGUCACCUUUGGUGUCCGAAUUGUAUUUGAUAGGGUCUUCUUUCAGGGAAGACCAUGGCCAAAGUUCUCUGGAAAGGGACAACAAAGAGGGUGACAUUCCCGUCUGGGUCAUGGUUUGAACUGGUAUAAAGGAGGCCCAAAGAGUCGGAUUGUUUGGGAAUGCAGUCCAAAAUGGGUGGUACAUUUCAUCUAAAGCUAGAUAUAGGCAAGAGACCGAUAGCGCACAAGUACCGUGAGGGAAAGAUGAAAAGAACUUUGAAAAGAGAGUUAAAUAGUACGUGAAAUUGUUAAAAGGGAAACGAUUGAGACCAGUGAUGUUAUGUAUGCUUAAGCCUACCCUUCGGGGGAGGUGUAUGUGUGCAUGACAAGUCGAUGCCUCUUUUAGAUUCUGGAAAAGACGAUUGGAAAGGUGGCUCUACCUUCGGGUAGUUGCUUUAUAGUCCAGUUGGGAUACAGAGUCUGGGAGAGGUCCAACAAGGGCGCAAGCUCACGUCGACAAAAUGGUCUUAAACGACCCGUCUUGAAACACGGACCAAGGAGUCUAACAACUAUGCGAGUAUUUGGGUGGCAAAAACCCGAAUGCGUAAAGAAACUGAACGCGUGGGAUCUGGUUCCUCAAGGGGAGCCAGUGCACCAUGGGCCGGUUCUUGUCUUUGACUUGGAUUGCGCUAGAGCAUAUCUGUUGGGACCCGAAAGAUGGUGAACUAUGCCUGAAUAGGGUGAAGCCAGAGGAAACUCUGGUGGAGGCUCGUAGACAUUCUGACGUGCAAAUCGAUGUUCAAAUUUGGGUAUAGGGGCGAAAGACUAAUCGAACCAUCUAGUAGCUGGUUCCCUC